rnacentral:snRNA from 1 species
AUCACUUCUCGGCCUUUUGGCUAAGAUCAAGUGUAGUAUCUGUUCUUAUCAGUUUAAUAUCUGAUUUAAUUGUUUAAAAUUCCAGAGAAUCCUCUUUAAUUAAAUUUCUGUGAAGGCUGGAAUUUCUAAAUUGUGCCCUUUGUUCAGAUCCCUCUGAAAACAAGAAUAAUU